AAAGUCUUCAAAAUUCCGAACUACAUACACCUUUGAUACACCAAAAGAAAAAAAUAGUUACAGGUGGUUUAAACAAACUACUAGACCCCCAUCAAUGGCGACAUCACCGUUGUCUAUGGCCCAUGCAACUCUCCUCUGUCGCUUAAAGACCAUGUACUCCCUUUGAAAGUCGUUGUUUUGCACCCAUUCCUUCCCCUUAAGCCUCACAAAACCCUUCCCUUCACGGCUCCGAUCCACCACCUCCACUCCAUACCCACACCAUUACGAAAUGAUUAUUUCUCGAGCAUCUAAUCCACCUCAUCCCCCAGUCGCCGUUGUCUAACUGUCGUCCCUAAUUAUAGAUCCGUUGAAUCAGAACCUGACCGGGAACUUGGUUUCGAAGACUGGGUUGAUAAAAAGCUAUCCAACGAGAAUAAAAGCAGUGCCGACACUGAAACUGAUACGGUAAUGGAUAAGGCCAAGAGAAAAUAUUAUAAUAAGAGAAGGAAAGAAUGUAUGGAGAAUUGGAGUCGGAUGAGGAAAGUGGGGAUGGGGAAGAAUGAUG
rnacentral:lncRNA from 1 species